rnacentral:rRNA from 1 species
GGGAGGCGAGUAGAGUGGCGCACGGGUGAGUAACACGUAGGUAAUCUACCUUUGGAUGGGGAAUAACAACCGGAAACGGUUGCUAAUACCGCAUAAUGCAGCGGCACCUAAUGGUGACAGUUGUUAAAGCGGGGGAUCGAAAGACCUCGCGUCUGAAGAGGAGCCUGCGGCGGAUUAGCUAGUUGGUAAGGUAAUGGCUUACCAAGGCGAUGAUCCGUAACCGGCCUGAGAGGGCGGUCGGUCACACUGACACUGACAUACGGGUCAGACUCCUACGGGAGGCAGCAGUCGGGAAUUUUGGGCAAUGGGCGAAAGCCUGACCCAGCAACGCCGCGUGAAGGAUGAAAUCCCUCGGGAUGUAAACUUCGCAAGAACAGGAAGAAUAAGUAAGGGUUAAUAUCUCUUACGAUGACGGUACUGUUUGUAAGCUCCGGCUAACUCCGUGCCAGCAGCCGCGGUAAUACGGGGGGAGCAAGCGUUGUUCGGAUUUACUGGGCGUAAAGGGCGCGUAGGCGGCCACCGCAAGUCGGUUGUGAAAUCUCUGGGCUUAACCCAGAAAGGUCAACCGAUACUGCGGGGCUAGAGUGCAGAAGGGGCAACUGGAAUUCUCGGUGUAGCGGUGAAAUGCGUAGAUAUCGAGAGGAACACCUGCGGCGAAGGCGGGUUGCUGGGCUGACACUGACGCUGAAGCGCGAAAGC